rnacentral:rRNA from 1 species
GACGAACGCUGGCGGCGUGCCUAAUACAUGCAAGUCGAACGCAGUGGGGACGGGUGCGUAACCCGUUGGUAACCACCCAUCAGAGGGGAUAACACUUGGAAACAGGUGCUAAACCGAUACUGAUGGAUGGACACGCGGUGCAUUAGCUAGUUGGUGAGGUAACGGCCCUCCAAGGCCACGAGGCAAAGCCUACCGGUGAGGGGGAUGGGCGACAGUGGGAUGGAGACACAGCCCAGACGCCUACGUGAGGCAGCAGUAGGGAAUCUUGGGCCAUGGACGAAAGUCUGACCGAGCAACGCCGCGUGAGUUAAGAAGGUGUUCGGAUCGUAAAACUCUGGUGUUAGAGAAACGGUAUCUAACCAGAAAGCCACGGCUAACUACGUGCCAGCAGCCGCGGUAAUUC